rnacentral:rRNA from 1 species
GACGAACGCUGGCGGCGUGCUUAACACAUGCAAGUCGAACGGUAAGGCCCUUCGGGGUACACGAGUGGCGAACGGGUGAGUAACACGUGGGUGAUCUGCCCUGCACUUCGGGAUAAGCCUGGGAAACUGGGUCUAAUACCGGAUAGGACCCUGGGAUGCAUGUCCUGGGGUGGAAAGCUUUUGCGGGGUGGGAUGGGCCCGCGGCCUAUCAGCUUGUUGGUGGGGUGAUGGCCUACCAAGGCGACGACGGGUAGCCGGCCUGAGAGGGUGACCGGCCGCACUGGGACUGAGAUACGGCCCAGACUCCUACGGGAGGCAGCAGUGGGGAAUAUUGCACAAUGGGCGCAAGCCUGAUGCAGCGACGCCGCGUGAGGGAUGACGGCCUUCGGGUUGUAAACCUCUUUCAGCACCGACGAAGCGCAAGUGACGGUAGGUGCAGAAGAAGGACCGGCCAACUACGUGCCAGCCGCCGCGGUAA